UACGUAGGGGGCAAGCGUUAUCCGGAAUUACUGGGUGUAAAGGGAGCGUAGACGGUAAUGUAAGUCUGGAGUGAAAGGCGGGGGCCCAACCCCCGGACUGCUCUGGAAACUAUGUUACUAGAGUGCAGGAGAGGUAAGCGGAAUUCCUAGUGUAGCGGUGAAAUGCGUAGAUAUUAGGAGGAACACCAGUGGCGAAGGCGGCUUACUGGACUGUGACUGACGUUGAGGCUCGAAAGCGUGGGGAGCAAACAGG
rnacentral:rRNA from 1 species